AUUGAACGCUGGCGGCAUGCCUUACACAUGCAAGUCGAACGGUAACAGGUUAAGCUGACGAGUGGCGAACGGGUGAGUAAUGUAUCGGAACGUGCCCAGUCGUGGGGGAUAACUACUCGAAAGAGUGGCUAAUACCGCAUACGACCUGAGGGUGAAAGCGGGGGACCGUAAGGCCUCGCGCGAUUGGAGCGGCCGAUAUCAGAUUAGCUAGUUGGUGGGGUAAAAGCCCACCAAGGCGACGAUCUAUAGCUGGUCUGAGAGGACGACCAGCCACACUGGGACUGAGACACGGCCCAGACUCCUACGGGAGGCAGCAGUGGGGAAUUUUGGACAAUGGGCGCAAGCCUGAUCCAGCAAUGCCGCGUGCAGGAAGAAGGCCUUCGGGUUGUAAACUGCUUUUGUCAGGGAAGAAAUCCUCUAGGUUAAUACCCUUGGGGGGAUGACGGUACCUGAAGAAUAAGCACCGGCUAACUACGUGCCAGCCGCCGCAGUAAUAC
rnacentral:rRNA from 1 species